ACUCACCCGUCAUGUAUCUGU
rnacentral:snRNA from 1 species